rnacentral:rRNA from 1 species
AUUGAACGCUGGCGGCAUGCCUUACACAUGCAAGUCGAACGGUAACAGGUUAAGCUGACGAGUGGCGAACGGGUGAGUAAUGUAUCGGAACGUGCCCAGUCGUGGGGGAUAACUGCUCGAAAGAGCAGCUAAUACCGCAUACGACCUGAGGGUGUAAGCGGGGGAUCGCAAGACCUCGCGCGAUUGGAGCGGCCGAUAUCAGAUUAGGUAGUUGGUGGGGUAAAGGCCUACCAAGCCUACGAUCUGUAGCUGGUCUGAGAGGACGACCAGCCACACUGGGACUGAGACACGGCCCAGACUCCUACGGGAGGCAGCAGUGGGGAAUUUUGGACAAUGGACGCAAGUCUGAUCCAGCCAUGCCGCGUGCGGGAAGAAGGCCUUCGGGUUGUAAACCGCUUUUGUCAGGGAAGAAAAGGUUCUGGUUAAUACCUGGGACUCAUGACGGUACCUGAAGAAUAAGCACCGGCUAACUACGUGCCAGCCGCCGCGGUAAAAC